AUUGAACGCUGGCGGCAGGCCUAACACAUGCAAGUCGAGCGGAGCGGCGGACGGGGGAGUAAUGCCUAGGAAUCUGCCUGGUAGUGGGGGAUAACGUCCGGUAACGGGCGCUAAUACCGCAUACUAUCAGCUUAGCCUAUGUCGGAUUAGCUAGUUGGUGGGGUAAAGGCCUACCAAGGCGACGAUCCGUAACUGGUCUGAGAGGAUGAACAGUCACAAUGGAAAUGGGGAAAGGGCCAGAAUCCCAAGGGAGGCAGGAGGGGGGAAUCUUCCGAAAUGGGGGAAAGUCUGACGGAGCAACGCCGGGGGAGUGAUGGAGGCCUUCGGGUUGGAAAACUCGUUAAUCGGGGAGACGGUACCGGAAUAGAAAGCAACGGCUAACUACGUGCCAGCAGCCGCGGUAAUAC
rnacentral:rRNA from 1 species